rnacentral:rRNA from 1 species
UACGUAGGGUGCAAGCGUUGUCCGGAAUUAUUGGGCGUAAAGAGCUCGUAGGCGGUCUGUCGCGUCGGAUGUGAAAAUCCAGGGCUCAACCCUGGACCUGCAUUCGAUACGGGCAGACUAGAGUUCGGUAGGGGAGACGUGGAAUUCCUGGUGUAGCGGUGAAAUGCGCAGAUAUCAGGAGGAACACCGGUGGCGAAGGCGGGUCUCUGGGCCGAUACUGACGCUGAGGAGCGAAAGCGUGGGGAGCAAACAGG